rnacentral:rRNA from 1 species
UUAAGUUAUGUGUGUUUUAGUGGAACGCUCUGGGAAGUGCGAACGUAGAGGGUGAUAUUCCCGUACACGAAAGGGCACACAUAAUGAUGACGAGUAGGGCGAGGCACGUGAAACCUUGUCUGAAUAUGGGGGGACCAUCCUCCAAGGCUAAAUACUCCUGACUGACCGAUAGUGAACCAGUACCGUGAGGGAAAGGCGAAAAGAACCCCUGUGAGGGGAGUGAAAUAGAUCCUGAAACCGCAUGCAUACAAGCAGUGGGAGCACCUUCGUGGUGUGACUGCGUACCUUUUGUAUAAUGGGUCAGCGACUUAUAUUCAGUAGCGAGGUUAACCGUAUAGGGGAGCCGUAGAGAAAUCGAGUCUUAAUAGGGCGUUUAGUUGCUGGGUAUAGACCCGAAACCAGGCGAUCUAUCCAUGAGCAGGUUGAAGGUUGGGUAACACUAACUGGAGGACCGAACCCACUGUCGUUGAAAAGCCAGGGGAUGACUUGUGGAUAGGGGUGAAAGGCUAAUCAAGCCUGGUGAUAGCUGGUUCUCCCCGAAAGCUAUUUAGGUAGCGCCUCGGACGAAUACCAUAGGGGGUAGAGCACUGUUUCGGCUAGGGGGUCAUCCCGACUUACCAAACCGAUGCAAACUCCGAAUACCUAUGAGUACUAUCCGGGAGACAGACUGCGGGUGCUAACGUCCGUAGUCAAGAGGAAAACAAUCCAGACCGCCAGCUAAGGCCCCAAAAUCAUAGUUAAGUGGGAAACGAUGUGGGAAGGCAUAGACAGCUAGGAGGUUGGCUUAGAAGCAGCCACCCUUUAAAGAAAGCGUAAUAGCUCACUAGUCGAGUCGGCCUGCGCGGAAGAUGUAACGGGGCUAAAACUAUGUGCCGAAGCUGCGGAUGUAUACUUUGUAUACGUGGUAGGGGAGCGUUCUGUAAGCCGAUGAAGGUGUGUUGAGAAGCAUGCUGGAGGUAUCAGAAGUGCGAAUGCUGACGUGAGUAACGACAAAACGGGUGAAAAACCCGUUCGCCGAAAGACCAAGGGUUCCAGUCCAACGUUAAUCGGGGCUGGGUGAGUCGACCCCUAAGGCGAGGCCGAAAGGCGUAGUCGAUGGGAAAAUGGUUAAUAUUCCAUUACUUCUGUGUAAUGCGAUGAGAGGACGGAGAAGGCUAAAUCAGCCUGGCGUUGGUUGUCCAGGUGAAAGGAUGUAGGCAUGUAUCUUAGGCAAAUCCGGGGUACUCUAUGCUGAGAUCUGAUAGCAAGCUGUACUUGUACAGCGAAGUGGUUGAUGCCAUGCUUCCAGGAAAAGUCUCUAAGCUUCAGUUACACAGGAAUCGUACCCGAAACCGACACAGGUGGUCAGGUCGAGUAGACCAAGGCGCUUGAGAGAACUCUGCUGAAGGAACUAGGCAAAAUGGUACCGUAACUUCGGGAGAAGGUACGCUGUUGUUGGUGAUGGAACUCGCUUCCUGAGCUGACGACAGCCGCAGAAACCAGGCCGCUGCAACUGUUUAUUAAAAACAUAGCACUCUGCAAACACGAAAGUGGACGUAUAGGGUGUGAUGCCUGCCCGGUGCUGGAAGGUUAAUUGAUGGGGUUAGCGUAAGCGAAGCUCUUGAUCGAAGCCCCAGUAAACGGCGGCCGUAACUAUAACGGUCCUAAGGUAGCGAAAUUCCUUGUCGGGUAAGUUCCGACCUGCACGAAUGGCAUAAUGAUGGCGGCGCUGUCUCCAGCAGAGGCUCAGUGAAAUCGAAAUCGCUGUGAAGAUGCAGUGUACCCGCGGCUAGACGGAAAGACCCCGUGAACCUUUACUGCAGCUUGACACUGAACUUUGACCUUACUUGUGUAGGAUAGGUGGGAGGCUUUGAAGCUGGAACGCUAGUUCCAGUGGAGCCGUCCUUGAAAUACCACCCUGGUAAUGUUGAGGUUCUAACUCUGUCCCGUGAUCCGGGACGAGGACCGUGUCUGGUGGGUAGUUUGACUGGGGCGGUCUCCUCCUAAAGAGUAACGGAGGAGUACGAAGGUGCGCUCAGCGUGGUCGGAAAUCACGCGUAGAGUAUAAAGGCAAAAGCGCGCUUAACUGCGAGACCCACAAGUCGAGCAGGUACGAAAGUAGGUCUUAGUGAUCCGGUGGUUCUGUAUGGAAGGGCCAUCGCUCAACGGAUAAAAGGUACUCUGGGGAUAACAGGCUGAUACCGCCCAAGAGUUCAUAUCGACGGCGGUGUUUGGCACCUCGAUGUCGGCUCAUCUCAUCCUGGGGCUGAAGCAGGUCCCAAGGGUAUGGCUGUUCGCCAUUUAAAGAGGUACGCGAGCUGGGUUUAGAACGUCGUGAGACAGUUCGGUCCCUAUCUACCGUGGGCGCUGGAAAUUUGAGAGGAUCUGCUCCUAGUACGAGAGGACCAGAGUGGACGAACCUCUGGUGUACCGGUUGUGACGCCAGUCGCAUCGCCGGGUAGCUAUGUUCGGAAGGGAUAACCGCUGAAAGCAUCUAAGCGGGAAGCCUACCUCAAGAUAAGAUUUCCCUAGGACUUUAUGUCCUCUAAAGAGCCGUUCGAGACUAGGACGUUGAUAGGUUGGAUGUGGAAGCAUAGUGAUAUGUGAAGCUGACCAAUACUAAUUGCUCGUGAGGCUUGACUAU